CAUGUGGAGGAACUCUGUUCCUGGGGAAGACAGCCAUGGCUCCCCCAGUGGAGAAGCUACACCCUUGAGCAGACGGUGCUGUCAGGAAGAAUCUGGCCUCUAAGAUUCCACACAUGUGAUGCCAGGCUUAAUGAGUCUGUCAUUCCAGGUGCCUACAAAGUCCCUCUCAACCACAUUAGCAGAUGAAGUGAGAACUGGAAGCUGUUAUUCUCAACAGAGAAUCCUGGCCCCUCUACUUGUCAGCAAGUACGAAUCCCCUCUCAGGUCUGAACCCUCUCUAGCUGCAACUACAGCUCAGGCUCACAGCAGUGCUCCUGGUCGCCCCAGAAAACCGCUCAUCCAUUCCAUCUUCUAGAAGAAUCGUGGUUCCACUCUCAGAAGCCUACAACAGUGUCAUGCGGUCCUUUUCCUGGGAGAGAAUGUUUCAUUCCUCAGGGACCAAGUCCUUACUCUGUGAUUCCCAAACACCUCCUGUAUUCCAGUAAAAAAGUAGAAAAUAACCAAGACUACGGCAGACUCGGCUGUCUCUAGCAAUGACUACAGAGUAGAACAUCUCGGAGAGAAGGCUGUCAGAUUGAGCAAUCACAAGAAGGCUUGAGUUGACAGUGGCCUACACUACACACACAGGGAGAACAGAGUCCUAAGCAGGUUUGGACGCUCUGGAGGCUGGGGUACACCCCCCAUCAAGUUGCUCAGACAAUACUCAAGGUGUCAUUUUUCAAGGUUGAGAACCAUUGGCCAAGAGGACUAACGCUGGAACUGGAGCAAUGGCUCAGAAGUUAAGAGCAUAUACUUUUCCUGUGGAAGACCUGAAUUUAGUUCCUAGUGAUCACUGUGGGCUGCUCACAACUACCUGUAACUUCAGCUACAGGGAAUCUAACAUCCUUUUCAGCCUUCCUGGGCACCCACACUCAUUUGCAUAUAUCCCCACACAAAACAUAAUAUUUUUCAAAUAUUUUUUUUUCAAAAAGAGGUAAAUCUGCUGAGUGUAGCUCUUUGAUAAAAUCUUUGAUUAGCAACAAAACUGCUUUGUG